rnacentral:rRNA from 1 species
CCUACGGGAGGCAGCAGUGGGGAAUUUUGGACAAUGGGCGCAAGCCUGAUCCAGCAAUGCCGCGUGAGUGAAGAAGGCCUUCGGGUUGUAAAGCUCUUUUGUCAGGGAAGAAACGGUGGAGGUUAAUACCUUCUGCUAAUGACGGUACCUGAAGAAUAAGCACCGGCUAACUACGUGCCAGCAGCCGCGGUAAUACGUAGGGUGCAAGCGUUAAUCGGAAUUACUGGGCGUAAAGCGUGCGCAGGCGGUUGUGCAAGACAGAUGUGAAAUCCCCGGGCUCAACCUGGGAAUUGCAUUUGUGACUGUACGGCUAGAGUGUGUCAGAGGGGGGUAGAAUUCCACGUGUAGCAGUGAAAUGCGUAAAGAUGUGGAGGAAUACCGAUGGCGAAGGCAGCCCCCUGGGAUAACACUGACGCUCAUGCACGAAAGCGUGGGGAGCAAACAGGAUUAGAUACCCUGGUAGUCCACGCCCUAAACGAUGUCUACUAGUUGUCGGGUCUUUAUUGACUUGGUAACGCAGCUAACGCGUGAAGUAGACCGCCUGGGGAAGUACGGUCGCAAGAUUAAAACUUCAAAGGAAUUGACGG